UGAACCAAGGCAGGAAGUGCUCAUUCAAUCAUUAUUUCGUUCAUUCAGCAUGUGUUUGCUGAUGCCUCCCACAUGCUGGACCUGGGCUCUGGGGACACCACGAUAUAAAAGACUUGGCCUCAAGCACUUGGAGCACAGUCCAGGGGAGGAAACAGCCCAGGAGGGAAUUUCAGCAGAGCAUGAUGCAAGCUGCGAUAAGGGCACUGAAGAAACAAAAGCGAAUAUCAUAGACCUAGACUCUGCUUUUCUGGGAGCUGAGGGGCACAGAUCCUAAAUCAAAGGAUCUCACAAUAAAACACAGACAGUGAGAAGCGCUGUCAGGAAAGGCUUCUCUAAGGUGAGGCAAACCAGCUGGUUUGGUACUUUGUUCGGCCACUAUCCAGUGAGCACCCACUGGGUCAGACACUGCUGAGUGCAAGGAUGCAGGGUGAGGAAGACAGACCCAGUUCCUGCCCUCAAGAGGCUGACAUUCCAGUAAAGGAGAUGCACCAAAAUAAAUGGACAACGACAGCAGGGCGAGGCAAAUGCAGCUAGAGCUAUAGAGGGGCUGUGGGCGCAGGGAGGGGGUGAGCAGGAGUUAGGGAUUGCGCGUGGGGUGGGAGAGGGGCUGGCGGGGUGUCUCUGGCGACCUGCUGGGCUCAGGAGGCUGCGGGGAAUGGUGGGAGAAGAUGCUGUAGCCUUGGAAGAAGGUCAAGGUCCACUAGAAGGAGAGCCAAGGCCGUGGAUGCAGGAAGGCAGAGGGUGCUUGCGGGGCUCCCGCUGUCUCCCCAUCUCUGCCCGUGCCUCCUUUUUCUGUCCUUCUCUAUCUGUCUCUGUUUCUCCCUGUCAGCACCUGACCGUCUCUCAGAUUCUCUCAUUGUCUCUCUUGGCCUCUCGGCCUCUCUUUCUCUGACUCUCUCUUGUCUGCUCUAAAAAAAAAAAAAAAAAAAAAAAAAAAAAAACCCAGGCGGGUGGGCUGGAAGCAAGGCCAGGGGCACAAGGACAGCUGAGCACAGGGACGGGCCGUGACUGAAUGUUCUGUUUUGGAAAGACAGCUCUGGUCAGGGGCGAAGGUGGCUGACCAUGAAACUUGAUAACCUGGCCAAACUCAGUUUUAGCCAGCCUUCUGGCCGGCAGCCCUGUGACCCCGUGGGUGCCGCGCAGAAUUUUCCCAGAGGGAGGGGGAGAUGGGGAAAUGGCCCACGGGCAGUUUCUCCUCUGGCGACCAGGACCAACAGGGAUGGCAAUAAGGGAAUGGUGCAUUCUCCAGUGUGACCUCAGUGUGGCUCAGACCAGGAAAGGCCUGCUUAUCUCUGUGCACUUUCCAAAGGUUUAACGAUUUAUUAAGCACUUACUGUGUGCCAGGCACCGCGCCGUGUACACCACCGCUAACCCUCUCAAGUGGAGCGCUGAGGUCUAAGACCAUGGACUGUGAGCCAGAAUGUUUGAGUUUGAAUCCCGGCUUUGCAAAUUUCUAACUGUGACUUUGUGUAAGUUACUCAAGCCCUUUCUUCAGGUGUAAAAAUGGGAAGAAAGUAGCAGAGUCUCAGCCAUCGGAGGGCAGGUGAAUACUGGCUAGUACCUGUAAAGGGCUCACACGACUGCCUGGCAUAUAGUAACUGCUCAAGAAAAAUCGAAGCUAUUAUGAUUUCAGCCUUGAAGGAAAGAGAUAAAGCUAAGGAGGUAGAGUGAGUCACGUUCCAAUUCCUGCUUCAUCACUUCCCAGCUCUGUGACCUUGGUUAAAUCUCAAAACAUAAGUAGGUGUCCGUUUUCUUACCUGUUCAGUAAGUAUACUCUUAGGUCUCACCUUAUCAGGGGGCUGAGAGCUUCUGUGGAUGUGAAAAGCAGAUGGAAAGCGUUCGGAAAAAAUUCAUGUUUUCCCCACGUGUCCAGGAGGUUCCACGAUUCCAGAACAUCUACGAUUGCUCGGUCUCAGGCUUUUCCUGUCCUAGGAGACAGCGGUGAUCUGUUGGGGAUGGAUCAAGGCCCCUUGGCACCCCACCCUUCUGCUGCCGGCACUAUCGACCCAUUUCACAGCAGUAGAAACUGAGGUCUGUGAGGUAAACAGGCUGCCCAAGGCAAAAGAUUUGCAAGUACCUGCACCCCUGAGCUGCGCUUGACCUGAACUCCUGGGACAACCCCACCAUUUCCUCUGCCAUCAGAGGCAACUGGGUCCUGGCCCUCUCUCACACCCAGCUGCAAUUUCCUGCCUCCAUAUGCCCUGCGCCUGGCUCGGUGCUAGUCUCAGAAAUGUUGGUUGUACCAGACAGAAUCUACAAGCCCAAAGAGCUAUGCUGUCCUUGAAUUAUCUCUCAGCAUCCUUAGCCUUCUUCCUUAUCCUCUGCCAGCCAACCAGAAGGAAAAGCAACAUGGCCAUUGCAUCCCUAAGUCCUCCUCUCGCUACCAGGGCGAGAAGCAGGUGACAAGCAUAGGCAAUGUGAAGGAGGGGACAGAAGCGGGUCUGGAGCCCCAGAGCCCCAGGUUCUCAUGCCUUGGCUGUGUAACUUUGGACAUGAGUCCUCCCCUCUCUGAGUCUCAGUUUCCUCAUCUGUAGAAUGGGUACAAUCAUCACAAUGUCCACUCCUUCAGUUGAUAUGCAGAAUAGAGAGAGCAUGGGUAGAGCACUAGGCAUGGAUCAGGUCUCAGAAAAUGAGAACCAUCCCCGCUAGGUGGGGGUGGGGGUGGUGGCUGAACCCCUCUCUCCCCACCCCAGUCCUUCAAGCCCAGUUUGGCUCUUCUUGGUCAAUGGUGAGCUCCUCAUGAGACAGUAUAGUGGUUAUGAGCAUGAGCCCUGGGGUCAGCUGCCUGGCGUCAAAUCCUGCCUCUGCCACAUGUUAGCUGCCUGAUCGCAGACUUAAGUGACAGAAGCGCUCUGGGACUUAGUCUCUCCACGCAAGAAGUAGAUGUAUAAUAAUCCCCACCUCUUUGAACUGUUGUGAUGAUCAAAUGAAUUUACAAAUGUAAAGGCUAGGA